rnacentral:rRNA from 1 species
GAAACCGAGUCUUAACCGGGCGUUAAGUUGCAGGGUAUAGACCCGAAACCCGGUGAUCUAGCCAUGGGCAGGUUGAAGGUUGGGUAACACUAACUGGAGGACCGAACCGACUAAUGUUGAAAAAUUAGCGGAUGACCUGUGGCUGGGGGUGAAAGGCCAAUCAAACCGGGAGAUAGCUGGUUCUCCCCGAAAGCUAUUUAGGUAGCGCCUCGUGAAUUCAUCUCCGGGGGUAGAGCACUGUUUCGGCUAGGGGGCCAUCCCGGCUUACCAACCCGAUGCAAACUGCGAAUACCGGAGAAUGUUAUCACGGGAGACACACGGCGGGUGCUAACGUCCGUCGUGAAGAGGGAAACAACCCAGACCGCCAGCUAAGGUCCCAAAGUCAUGGUUAAGUGGGAAACGAUGUGGGAAGGCCCAGACAGCCAGGAUGUUGGCUUAGAAGCAGCCAUCAUUUAAAGAAAGCGUAAUAGCUCACUGGUCGAGUCGGCCUGCGCGGAAGAUGUAACGGGGCUAAACCAUGCACCGAAGCUGCGGCAGCGACACUGUGUGUUGUUGGGUAGGGGAGCGUUCUGUAAGCCUGUGAAGGUGUGUCGUGAGGCAUGCUGGAGGUAUCAGAAGUGCGAAUGCUGACAUAAGUAACGAUAAAGCGGGUGAAAAGCCCGCUCGCCGGAAGACCAAGGGUUCCUGUCCAACGUUAAUCGGGGCAGGGUGAGUCGACCCCUAAGGCGAGGCCGAAAGGCGUAGUCGAUGGGAAACGGGUUAAUAUUCCCGUACUUGGUGUUACUGCGAAGGGGGGACGGAGAAGGCUAUGUUGGCCGGGCGACGGUUGUCCCGGUUUAAGCGUGUAGGUGUGUGUUCCAGGUAAAUCCGGUUCACUUUAACACUGAGGCGUGA